rnacentral:rRNA from 1 species
GAUGAACGCUGGCGGCGUGCCUAAUACAUGCAAGUCGAGCGAACAGACGAGGAGCUUGCUCCUCUGACGUUAGCGGCGGACGGGUGAGUAACACGUGGAUAACCUACCUAUAAGACUGGGAUAACUUCGGGAAACCGGAGCUAAUACCGGAUAAUAUAUUGAACCGCAUGGUUCAAUAGUGAAAGACGGUUUUGCUGUCACUUAUAGAUGGAUCCGCGCCGCAUUAGCUAGUUGGUAAGGUAACGGCUUACCAAGGCAACGAUGCGUAGCCGACCUGAGAGGGUGAUCGGCCACACUGGAAGUGAGACACGGUCCAGACUCCUACGGGAGGCAGCAGUAGGGAAUCGUCCGCAAUGGGCGAAAGCCUGACGCAGCAACGCCGCGUGAGUGAUGAAGGUCUUCGGAUCGUAAAACUCUGUUAUUAGGGAAGAACAAAUGUGUAAGUAACUAUGCACGUCUUGACGGUACCUAAUCAGAAAGCCACGGCUAACUACGUG